CAUGCAAGUCGAGCGGUAACAUUUCUAGCUUGCUAGAAGAUGACGAGCGGCGGACGGGUGAGUAACGCGUAGAAAUCUGCCUGGUAGUGGGGGAUAGCCCASAGAAAUUUGGAUUAAUACCGCAUACGCCCUACGGGGGAAAGCAGGGGACCUUCGGGCCUUGCGCUAUCAGAUGAGUCUGCGUCGGAUUAGCUAGUUGGUGGGGUAAUGGCCUACCAAGGCGACGAUCCGUAGCUGGUCUGAGAGGAUGAUCAGCCACACUGGGACUGAGACACGGCCCAGACUCCUACGGGAGGCAGCAGUGGGGAAUAUUGCACAAUGGGCGCAAGCCUGAUGCAGCCAUGCCGCGUGUGUGAAGAAGGCCUUAGGGUUGUAAAGCACUUUCAGCAGUGAGGAAAGGGUGUAAGUUAAUACCCUUGCACCUGUGACGUUAACUGCAGAAGAAGGACCGGCUAACUCCGUGUCAGCAGCCGCGGUAAUACCGAGGGUCCGAGCGUUAAUCGGAAUUUCUGGGCGUAAACCGCGCGUAGCCGGUUAUUUAAGUCAGAUGUGAAAGCCCGGGGCUCAACCUGGGAACUGCAUUUGGAACUGGAAUACUAG
rnacentral:rRNA from 1 species